ACUUGGCGUCGCUUCGUUCCUUUGUAUGUCCUUUACCUGUUGUAUCCGAGCUAAAGGAUGGAGAGAGCAUUUGUCGUGCUAUUUAAGCCUACUGGGACAUUAAUUGUGGCGCGUGUGUGUAGUCCAGAAGAACUUGGUGGGGAUCAUCGUGCUUCAGCCUCCACAGUGCUGGUACAAGUCUAUGCCAGACCCAACGUCAUUCCAGCUUUUUGGUUUCUAAUUUUAACCAAGGCAUUAAUUGGUACGCAAAUGCCAUCAGAAAGGGAACAGGACUUGGUACCUGGAACUUUUUUUUUCCCUUCCGAGACAGGGUUUCUGUGUAGACCAGGCUGGCCUCAAACUCAAGGGAGAUCCGCCUACCUCUGCUUCCCAACUGUUGGGAUUAAAAGCACGCGCCAGCACCGCCUGGUGGAACCUGGAAUCUUUAAACAUAAAUUCUUUUGUGACUUUUGAGAGGUCUUCUGUGGCUCAUCUUGCCUCUGAUUUGUUAUAUAGAGGGCAAUAACAUGAUCUCGAACUAAUGAUUCACUAGGCACCAAGUCCCAAACACUCGAAUGACAGGUGAAUGCCACUUACAUGGUCUUCCCUACCUCCACCUGGCCAGUAAUGAGAUUAUAGGCAUGUGCCACCAUCUGUGGUUCUGAAUAAUCUUUAGAGUAGUGGUUCUCAACCUUCCUAACGCUGUGACCACCAAACAAAACCAUUUUCAUUGCUGCUUCAUUACUAAAAUUGUUCUAGUUACGAAUUGUAAUGUGGAUAUCUUAUAUACUACCCUUAUGAAAGGGUGUCUGACCUCCUGAGGGUUUGUGGCCCACAGGUUGAGAGCCACUGCUUUAUAACUACCUUAAUAUGUACCUGGUUAAUUACCAGGAAUGCAAAAUGAAGUUGUGAUUACUUUUUUUUUUUUAAGAUUUUAUUUACUUUUUAUGUAUACAGUCUUCUGCCUGCAUGCAGAUAUCAUUCAAGGCGGUUAUGAGCCACCAUGUGGUUGCUGGGAAUUGAACUCAGGUCCUCUGGAAGAACAGUCAGUGCUCUUAACCACUGAGCCAUCUCUCCAGCCCUGUGAUUACUCUUUAGCUCUUGAGACUGGGAAAUGACAUUUGAUUUACUUUAUACUAGCUAGCUUUACUUAGAUUUUUAGUAUAGGACUUCCGUAGAUAUUUUAUAAUCAAAACUUCCUGAACAUCUUUUAUGAAGUUUACUAAAUUCUAUACCCCAGGCUACUCACUGAAGAAACUAGCUACACACUCAAGCUAGGUGUGCUGAUUCCAUGGUAACCAUUAUAUCAACAGAAACGUACUCUGAUUCUUUGCUCAUCUCUGUGUAUUUAUUGCUAGAGAUCAAAUCUGGGCACUCAUAUGAUAGGAAAAUGCCAAGUUCGGGUGGUGCUGGAUUAAAUCUAGUCUUGCACUAGUUUUCCUGGUUUUGGGGCACCAGUCCAUGAGAUUUGUGUUAAUAUAUAUAUUGAGACAAGGUUUCUCUGUAUAGCUUUGGAGCUUAUCCCAGCACUUUAUCUGUAAACCAGGCUGGUCUCAAACUCUCAAUACCAGAUCUGUCUGCUUCUGCCUCCAGAGUGCUGGUAUUUUUUUUUUUUG
rnacentral:lncRNA from 1 species